AGCGAACGCUGGCGGCAGGCCUAACACAUGCAAGUCGAACGAACCCUUCGGGGUUAGUGGCGGACGGGUGAGUAACACGUGGGAACGUGCCUUUAGGUUCGGAAUAACUCAGGGAAACUUGUGCUAAUACCGAAUGUGCCCUUCGGGGGAAAGAUUUAUCGCCUUUAGAGCGGCCCGCGUCUGAUUAGCUAGUUGGCGGGGUAAUGGCCCACCAAGGCGACGAUCGUUAGCUGGUCUGAGAGGACGAUCAGCCACACUGGGACUGAGACACGGCCCAGACUCCUACGGGAGGCAGCAGUGGGGAAUAUUGGACAAUGGGGGCAACCCUGAUCCAGCCAUGCCGCGUGAGUGAUGAAGGCCUUCGGGUUGUAAAGCUCUUUCGGCGGGGACGAUGAUGACGGUACCCGCAGAAUAAGCCCCGGCUAACUUCGUGCCAGCCGCCGCGGUAAUAC
rnacentral:rRNA from 1 species